rnacentral:rRNA from 1 species
GAUGAACGCUGGCGGCGUGCCUAAUACAUGCCAGUCGAGCGAACGGACGAGAAGCUUGCUUCUCUGAUGUUAGCGGCGGACGGGUGAGUAACACGUGGAUAACCUACCUAUAAGACUGGGAUAACUUCGGGAAACCGGAGCUAAUACCGGAUAAUAUUUUGAACCGCAUGGUUCAAAAGUGAAAGACGGUCUUGCUGUCACUUAUAGAUGGAUCCGCGCUGCAUUAGCUAGUUGGUAAGGUAACGGCUUACCAAGGCAACGAUGCAUAGCCGACCUGAGGGGGUGAUCGUCCACACUGGAACUGAGACACGAUCCAGACUCCUACGGGAGGCAGCAGUAGGGAAUCUUCCGCAAUGGGCGAAAGCCUGACGGAGCAACGCCGCGUGAGUGAUGAAGGUCUUCGGAUCGUAAAACUCUGUUAUUAGGGAAGAACAUAUGUGUAAGUAACUGUGCACAUCUUGACGGUACCUAAUCAGAAAGCCACGGCUAACUACGUG